ensembl:lncRNA
AACAAAGGUUAGCUAAACUGACAGUUCAGAUGGUUUCAACAGAAAAAUCCACAAAUUUUAUUUUUAAAUGUGUAUGUACAAUUCCAAUGGCGCUUUGCAGGAAUAUAAUUGAAUUUGGACAAAGCACACCUGUACAAAAAAAUUGACCACUUGGUCCUGCUUUUGUAUGCCACAGAAGCAGAGCCCGGUGACUUAUAAUCCUUAAACAUCUGCCAUCUACCCAAGGAGGAGGGUCAAUUUGAAGGACAGACUGAUCAACCUUCUGGAAUAGGACUUCUCAGGUGACCCAGUGGCAAAAAAAAAAUUCAUCUGCUAAUGCAGGAGAUGAAAGAGAGGUGGGUUUGAUACAUGGUUCGGGGAGAUCCCAUGAAGAAGGAAAUGGCAACAUACUCCAGUAUUCUUGCCUGAAAAAUUCCAUGGACAGAGGAGCCUGGCAGUCAAAAGUUCAUGGGGUUGCAAAGAGUCGACACAAGUGUGCAUUUUUCAUUAAUUUUGUUGCCAUUUUAUAUGAUCAUGAUUAUGUGUUUACCUUUAU